rnacentral:tRNA from 1 species
CGGGCCGUGGCGCGGAGGUCGUCGCGCCCGCCUGCACAGCGGGAGGACACCGGUUCGAAUCCGGUCGGUCCGCC